UACGUAGGGGGCGAGCGUUAUCCGGAUUUACUGGGUGUAAAGGGAGCGUAGACGGCAAUGCAAGCCAGGAGUGAAACCCCGGGGCUCAACCUCGGGCAUGCUCUUGGAACUGUAAAGCUAGAGUGCGGGAGGGGCAGGCGGAAUUCCUGGUGUAGCGGUGAAAUGCGUAGAUAUCAGGAGGAACACCGGCGGCGAAGGCGGCCUGCUGGACCGCGACUGACGUUGAGGCUCGAAAGCGUGGGGAGCGAACA
rnacentral:rRNA from 1 species